CCUACGGGAGGCAGCAGUGAGGAAUAUUGGUCAAUGGGCGGAAGCCUGAACCAGCCAAGUCGCGUGAGGGAUUAAGGCCCUGCGGGUCGUAAACCUCUUUUGCCGGGGAGCAGUGGUCCGGACGCGUCCGGACCGGGAGAGUACCCGGAGAAAAAGCAUCGGUUAACUCCGUGCCAGCAGCCGCGGUAAUACGGAGGAUGCGAGCGUGAUCCGGAUUUAUGGGGUUUAAAGGGUGCGUAGGCGGCAUGCCAAGUCAGCGGUAAAAUCGCGGGGCUCAACCUGGCUCCGCCGUUGAAACUGGCGUUCUUGAGUGGGCGAGAAGUAUGCGGAAUGCGUGGUGUAGCGGUGAGAUGCGUAGAUAUUAGGCAGAACACCAGUGGCGAAGGCAGCUUGCUGGACGAUGACUGACGUUGAGGCACGAAAGCGUGGGGAGCAAACAGGAUUAGAUACCCGAGUAGUC
rnacentral:rRNA from 1 species